GGGGACGGCCGAGUAACACGUGGGUAACCUGCCUGUAAGACUGGGAUAACUCCGGGAAACCGGAGCUAAUACCGGAUAGUUCCUUGAACCGCAUGGUUCAAGGAUGAAAGACGGUUUCGGCUGUCACUUACAGAUGGACCCGCGGCGCAUUAGCUAGUUGGUGAGGUAACGGCUCACCAAGGCGACGAUGCGUAGCCGACCUGAGAGGGUGAUCGGCCACACUGGGACUGAGACACGGCCCAGACUCCUACGGGAGGCAGCAGUAGGGAAUCUUCCGCAAUGGACGAAAGUCUGACGGAGCAACGCCGCGUGAGUGAUGAAGGUUUUCGGAUCGUAAAGCUCUGUUGUUAGGGAAGAACAAGUGCAAGAGUAACUGCUUGCACCUUGACGGUACCUAACCAGAAAGCCACGGCUAACUACGUGCCAGCAGCCGCGGUAAUACGUAGGUGGCAAGCGUUGUCCGGAAUUAUUGGGCGUAAAGGGCUCGCAGGCGGUUUCUUAAGUCUGAUGUGAAAGCCCCCGGCUCAACCGGGGAGGGUCAUUGGAAACUGGGAAACUUGAGUGCAGAAGAGGAGAGUGGAAUUCCACGUGUAGCGGUGAAAUGCGUAGAGAUGUGGAGGAACACCAGUGGCGAAGGCGACUCUCUGGUCUGUAACUGACGCUGAGGAGCGAAAGCGUGGGGAGCGAACAGGAUUAGAUACCCUGGUAGUCCACGCCGUAAACGAUGAGUGCUAAGUGUUAGGGGGUUUCCGCCCCUUAGUGCUGCAGCUAACGCAUUAAGCACUCCGCCUGGGGAGUACGGUCGCAAGACUGAAACUCAAAGGAAUUGACGGGGGCCCGCACAAGCGGUGGAGCAUGUGGUUUAAUUCGAAGCAACGCGAAGAACCUUACCAGGUCUUGACAUCCUCUGACAACCCUAGAGAUAGGGCUUUCCCUUCGGGGACAGAGUGACAGGUGGUGCAUGGUUGUCGUCAGCUCGUGUCGUGAGAUGUUGGGUUAAGUCCCGCAACGAGCGCAACCCUUGAUCUUAGUUGCCAGCAUUCAGUUGGGCACUCUAAGGUGACUGCCGGUGACAAACCGGAGGAAGGUGGGGAUGACGUCAAAUCAUCAUGCCCCUUAUGACCUGGGCUACACACGUGCUACAAUGGACAGAACAAAGGGCUGCGAGACCGCAAGGUUUAGCCAAUCCCACAAAUCUGUUCUCAGUUCGGUUCGCAGUCUGCAACUCGACUGCGUGAAGCUGGAAUCGGUAGUAAUCGCGGAUCAGCAUGCCGCGGUGAAUA
rnacentral:rRNA from 1 species